AUUGAACGCUGGCGGCAUGCCUUACACAUGCAAGUCGAACGGUAACAGGUCUUCGGAUGCUGACGAGUGGCGAACAGGUGAGUAAUACAUCGGAACGUGCCUAGUAGUGGGGGAUAACUACUAGAAAGAGUGGCUAAUACCGCAUGAGAUCUACGGAUGAAAGCAGGGGAUCGCAAGACCUUGUGCUACUAGAGCGGCCGAUGGCAGAUUAGGUAGUUGGUGGGAUAAAAGCUUACCAAGCCGACGAUCUGCAGCUGGUCUGAGAGGACGAUCAGCCACACUGGGACUGGGAAACGGCCCAGACUCCUACGGGAGGCAGCAGUGGGGAAUUUUGGACAAUGGGCGCAAGCCUGAUCCAGCAAUGCCGCGUGCAGGAUGAAGGCCUUCGGGUUGUAAACUGCUUUUGUACGGAACGAAAAGCCCUGGGUUAAUACCCUGGGGUCAUGACGGUACCGUAAGAAUAAGCACCGGCUAACUACGUGCCAGCAGCCGCAGUAA
rnacentral:rRNA from 1 species